rnacentral:misc_RNA from 1 species
GAUGAAGAACGCAGCGAAACGCGAAAGUUAAUGCGAAUUGCAGAAUCAGUGAGUCAUCGAGUUUUUGAACGCACAUUGCGCCUCUUGGUAUUCCAGGAGGCACGCCUGUUCGAGCGCCAUUACAAACUCCAAGCCGCUGCUUGAUGUUGGACGGUGUCCGGAGAGGGACACGUCUGGAACGCGUUGGCGCCGCCGGCGGACCACGAGCGUAGCAAGAUGAAAGUCAAUCGUUCGGUUUUGGAUUCCGUCGGUGGCGGCCUGUCGCACCGUGAGGUCGCACGACGUCACGGUGCUCACCCACACAAAGUUUGGCCUCGGAUCAGGCGGGGAUACCCGCUGAACUUAAGCAUAUCAAUAAGGGAGGA